GCCCUGUUAGCUCAAUUGGUAGAGCGUGGGACUUUUAAUCCCAAGGCUGCGGGUUCGAGCCCCGCAUGGGGCG
rnacentral:tRNA from 1 species